UACGUAGGGGGCAAGCGUUGUCCGGAUUUAUUGGGCGUAAAGAGCUCGUAGGCGGCUUGGCAAGUCGGGUGUGAAAACUCCAGGCUCAACCUGGAGAUGCCACUCGAGACUGCUAUGGCUAGAGUCCGGUAGGGGACCACGGAAUUCCUGGUGUAGCGGUGAAAUGCGCAGAUAUCAGGAGGAACACCGGUGGCGAAGGCGGUGGUCUGGGCCGGCACUGACGCUGAGGAGCGAAAGCGUGGGAGCAACAGGAUAGAACCCGUGGUAGUCCAAGACCG
rnacentral:rRNA from 1 species